rnacentral:rRNA from 1 species
AAUAUUGGACAAUGGGGGCAACCCUGAUCCAGACAUGCCGUGUGUGUGAAGAAGGUCUUCGGAUUGUAAAGCACUUUAAGUUGGGAGGAAGGGCUUUCGGCAAAUACCUUGAUGUCUUGACGUUACCCACAGAAUAAGCACCGUCUAACUCUGUGUCAGCAUCCGCGGUAAUACAGAGGGUGCAAGCGUUAAUCGGAAUUACUGGGCGUAAAGCGCGCGUAGGUUGUUCAGUAAGAUUGGUGUGAAAUCCCCGGGCUUAAGCUGGGAAAUGCUUUCAUAACUGCUGAGCUAGAGUACGAUAGAGGGUAGUGGAAUUUCCUGUGUAGCGGUGAAAUGCGUAGAUAUAGGAAGGAACACCAAUGGCGAAGGCGACUACCUGGACUGAUACUGACACUGAGGUGCGAAAGCGUGGGGAGCAAACA